CUAAAUGAUAAACACGUUCACAUUAGCUUAAAUUCAAAGUAAACAAAUAAUGUAGAUUAAAUUAAAAUGAAAAAUAUCUGGAUUCAUAAAAGAUAAAAUCAACAUUGUUAAAAAUAAAAUGUUCUCGUACAGAAUAAAUUCAUCAGCUUUUCUUUAAAAUAGGUCUUCUUGGAACUCUUCAAAACCAUGGCGAUACAGUUAUCACCAAAACCAGUACAGUUAAUAUAAUUACGUUUUUAAAAGACGGAGUCAAAUAAAGGUUAUACGGCGGAAUGAACACAACAGCAAUACAGUCAACAUAUUACGCAAUACACAUCACACGUGUAGAAGGUUUCAACGGAUAAAUCUGGGUCAACAGUAAAAAUGGUUCUUUUGGUGAAAUCGAAAGUUUAGACUAUGGAUGGCGAUACAGUUAUCACCGAUACAAAUUGAAUAAUGUCAAAUGAAAAUAGCAUAUAUAUUAACAGGAUCCAAAUGUUACGAAAAUCAAAUAAUGUAUGCUGCAAUGAGAUAAUUCUCACGUGCUUUCUGGUUGAAAACGGAAUACAUGUAGACAUCCACUAAUACA
rnacentral:lncRNA from 1 species